rnacentral:rRNA from 1 species
CUCGUAGGCGGUUCGUCGCGUCCGGUGUGAAAGUCCAUCGCUUAACGGUGGAUCUGCGCCGGGUACGGGCGGGCUGGAGUGCGGUAGGGGAGACUGGAAUUCCCGGUGUAACGGUGGAAUGUGUAGAUAUCGGGAAGAACACCGAUGGCGAAGGCAGGUCUCUGGGCCGUUACUGACGCUGAGGAGCGAAAGCGUGGGGAGCGAAACA